UUUAAAUGGGUAACAGGGUUACUUAGUUUACACUUUGAAUUAGCAUGCGAAUCCAACUCACAAAAACGAUGUAUUAGUUGACAAAUCCAGCAGAUUUUACUUUAAGACUUUGAUAACAUGAAAUGGCUCGAUACUUCAAAAAU